rnacentral:lncRNA from 1 species
AGAAUCUUUCUAUUGAUAGAGCUUUCACGUCUGCGCAUAGAAUCCUUUUUUGCCCUUCCAUUCUGUUCUUACGGUAGUUGGGUCGGAAUCCGUGUGAUGGUUCGAAAGUCGUUUCAAAUAUUCUUCGCAUCCCCAGAGAGAUAGAUUGUUGCCAUUGUGCCUUGGUCGUCAAAAGGGGCACGAACAGCCUUAAAGUACUGUUCCAUGUCCCAGAGGUCUUCGAGCCUUGGCAUUUCGAAUCCCGUUGAAUGGCUGUGGUUCCGGGACUCAAGUCUGGAGUCGCCAGGUGAGACAUUCGGUUCACGAACCGGAAACCUAUCUCCACAGCAAGCUCCUC